UCUUCUGGAAGAGUUAAUUAGUAAAAGAGUAUCUGCCGCCGCUCCAAACAGUAGGGGGGCUAGCGUCCAAAGCAAGCCUAAGUACAGUUUACGCUACUUUCUCCACUUGUUUUUUCUCUUUGCGUUCGUCUACUGCUUCUUCUUCUAUAUAAAGUCGUACAAACGGACUCUUCCCUCCUGCUCUACUGUAUCAUCUCGAUCUCCACCGUCCGUUAGCUCGUACUUGCAAAAUGGCUUUGCCUAAUCAGCAGAUUGUGGAUUACCCUAACUUUAAGCUUGUGAUUGUCGGUGAUGGAGGAACUGGUAAAACUACUUUUGUCAAGAGGCACUUGACUGGUGAAUUUGAGAAAAAAUAUGAACCAACUAUUGGAGUGGAGGUUCACCCAUUGGACUUUUUCACAAAUUGUGGGAAACUUCGUUUCUACUGCUGGGAUACUGCUGGGCAAGAGAAAUUUGGAGGUCUUCGAGAUGGCUACUACAUUCAUGGGCAAUGUGCAAUUAUAAUGUUUGAUGUCACAGCACGGCUGACCUACAAGAAUGUGCCAACAUGGCAUCGAGAUCUCUGCAGGGUUUGUGAAAGUAUUCCUAUUGUCCUCUGUGGAAACAAAGUUGAUGUCAAGAAUAGGCAGGUGAAGGCCAAGCAAGUUACAUUCCACCGGAAGAAAAAUUUGCAGUACUAUGAGAUUUCUGCAAAGAGCAACUACAAUUUUGAAAAGCCUUUCUUGUACCUUGCCAGGAAGCUUGCUGGGGAUCCCAAUCUUCAUUUCGUGGAAUCACCUGCCCUUCUUCCCCCCGAAGUCCAGAUAGAUUUGGCUGCACAGCAACAGCAUGAGGCUGAGCUUGCUCAAGCAGCUAUUCAACCACUCCCUGACGACGACGACGAUGCGUUCGAGUAAAUAAGAUGGGCCGUUUGCUGCUGCUUCACAACCUACUACCUCGCUCUUUUUGGUUGCAAAGCUUAUGAACUUCUAGAUAGAAGUAGUUUAUUGCGAAGAUUAGCGCUAAGUAGAUUGUGAUUUCGUGCGACGGCGGGCUGUCAGCUCUCAGCUGUUGGUACCCUUGUGUUGUGAGUAGAUAUUGUAACAACAGCCAAUGGCCAAGAGAAGAUGGAAAGUGGUAGACGUAACCCCAUUCAACAAGCGCUGGGAGUCUCUCAGUAUUUACUCAUGUAGUCAUGUUCUUGCUUUGUGUUCCAAUCUGCCUCCAGAGUUCGGAAAUCCUAUGCGAAAACUCGUCGCCCGCUGUCUCUGAAGGUCGAAAGACGUUUUGAUUUGUAGCGUCAUACGGAAGCCAUUGAAAAAAGGAAUAACCCUGGAAUGAUUAACAUUUACGCUUUUCAAAGAUUUAGAAAUUGGGGUCCAUGAUGUCAGAAAAUCCCAUCCCGCCUUUGCUUGCUACGAGAUUGGCGCCAAUGAGGGGCGACUGCAUGUUUGUUAUUUAAUGUUUUUCUAUAAUUUGUUUCUUGCGCAAAUUUUAGCAAAAGAAUUAGUAUUUAUUUUCA